CCAAUAGCGUAUAUUAAAGUUGUUGCAGUUAAAAAGCUCGUAGUUGAAUUUUGGGUCUGGCCGGGCGGUCCGCCCUCUGGGUGAGCACUGUUCCGACGCCGGGCCUAUCCUUCUGGCGAGUCGGCAUGUCCUUUAUUGGGUGUGUCGGGGAACCAGGACCAUUACCUUGAAAAAAUUAGAGUGUUCAAAGCAGGCGUAUGCUCGAAUACAUUAGCAUGGAAUAAUGAAAUAGGACGCGUGGUGCUAUUUUGUUGGUUUCUAGAACCGCCGUAAUGAUUAAUAGGGAUAGUUGGGGGCAUUAGUAUUCAAUUGUCAGAGGUGAAAUUCUUGGAUUUAUUGAAGACUAACUUCUGCGAAAGCAUUUGCCAAGGAUGUUUUCAUUAAUCAAGAACGAAAGUUAGGGGAUCGAAGGCGAUCAGAUACCGUCGUAGCCUUAACCAUAAACUAUGCCGACUAGGAAUCGGGCGAUGUUAUUCUCAUGGCUCGCCCGGCGCCUUAUG
rnacentral:rRNA from 1 species